CUAGAAAGAUUCCGGUUGAUCCUGCCAGAGGCUACUGCUAUCGGGGUCCGACUAAGCCAUGCGAGUUGAGAGGGGUAAGCCCUCGGCAUAUUGCUCAGUAACACGCGGAUAACCUGCCCUUGGGUUUGGGAUAACCCCGGGAAACUGGGACUAAUACCGGAUAGAUCAAAGAAACUGGAAUGUUCUCUGGUUGAAAGCUCCGGCGCCCAAGGAUGGGUCUGCGGCCUAUCAGGUAGUAGUGGGUGUAACAUACCUACUAGCCUACGACGGGUAAGGGUUGUGAGAGCAAGAGCCCUGAGAUGGAUUCUGAGACAUGAAUCCAGGCCCUACGGGGUGCAGCAGGCGCGAAAACUUUACACUGCGGGAAACCGCGAUAAGGGGACCCCGAGUGCCAGCACCUAGUGCUGGCUGUCCAGCUGUUCAAAAAACAGUUGUUAGCAAGGGCCGGGCAAGACCGGUGCCAGCCGCCGCGGUAACACCGGCGGCCCGAGUGGUAGCCGUUAUUAUUGGGUUUAAAGGGUCCGUAGCCGGCCUAUUAAGUCUCUUGGGAAAUCUGGCGACUCAAUCGUCAGGCGUUCAAGAGAUACUGGUAGGCUUGGGACCGGGAGAGGUGGGAGGUACUCCAGGGGUAGGGGUGAAAUCUCGUAAUCCUUGGGGGACCACCGAUGGCGAAGGCAUCCCACCAGAACGGGUCCGACGGUGAGGGACGAAAGCUGGGGGCACGAACCGGAUUAGAUACCCGGGUAGUCCCAGCCGUAAACGAUGCUCGCUAGGUGUCAGGUGCGGUGCGACCGCAUCUGGUGCCGUCGUGAAAACUUGAAGCGAGUCACCUGGGAAGUACGGUCGCAAGGCUGAAACUUAAAGGAAUUGGCGGGGGAGCACUACAACGGGUGGAGCCUGCGGUUCA
rnacentral:rRNA from 1 species